rnacentral:rRNA from 1 species
UACGAAGGGGGCUAGCGUUGUUCGGAUUUACUGGGCGUAAAGCGCGUGUAGGCGGGUCGUUAAGUUGGGGGUGAAAUCCCGGAGCUCAACUCCGGAACUGCCUUCAAAACUGGCGACCUGGACCUAAGUAGAGGCAAGUGGAAUUGCGAGUGUAGAGGUGAAAUUCGUAGAUAUUCGGAAGAACACCAGUGGCGAAGGCGGCUCACUGGACGACUGUUGACGCUGAGGUGCGAAAGCGUGGGGAGCAAACAGG